GACGAACGCUGGCGGCGUGCUUAACACAUGCAAGUCGAGCGGUAAGGCCCUUUCGGGGGUACACGAGCGGCGAACGGGUGAGUAACACGUGGGUGACCUGCCCUCAGCUCUGGGAUAAGCCUGGGAAACCGGGUCUAAUACUGGAUAUGACUCCAUGACGCAUGUUGUGGGGUGGAAAGCCUUGUGCGGCUGAGGAUGGGCCCGCGGCCUAUCAGCUUGUUGGUGGGGUGAUGGCCUACCAAGGCGACGACGGGUAGCCGGCCUGAGAGGGCGACCGGGCCACACUGGGACUGAGACACGGCCCAGACUCCUACGGGAGGCAGCAGUGGGGAAUCUUGCGCAAUGGGCGAAAGCCUGACGCAGCGACGCCGCGUGAGGGAUGACGGCCU
rnacentral:rRNA from 1 species